UUUAUUUGAAUGUCCUUAGGCAGGGAGCUGGCUGCUAGACUGUCCCCCUCCCUCAUAGGUAAGAACCCCUUGUGCUAGUUCGAGGUAGAGAUGAAAUACUUUGUGGAACAACUGUGCUACAGAAGAAUCCUUAAUUAAUCCUAAUGUUUUUCAGCCUCAUACUUAAGCCUUCAUCUUUGUAACCCUUUAGCAAAGGAUGUAGAUCACUGAUUCAGUGUUUCCACUGUGCCCCACUCUCUCCCCCACUGCCAUUCACAUCCUGAUGAGAAAUUCAGGAUUUAAAUGCCACACAGCUGUGUUUCCUUCCUUGUGCACUUCCAUUCCCCUUUGAACCUUAUACCACACUUACAGUGGGUAUUUAUGAGAGCAUUUGCAUAUUGUUGUGCCUCCUGGGAUCUUGACUUGGAAUGAUUUUAAACAAGAAUGAUUUUAAAAUAUUCUUUACACCUUAGAAGUUGUAAAGUUCCCACAUGAAAAUAAAAGGAAGGAAAGGUAUUUAUGCCACCUUCUUGGACACUUUGUGCCCUUUCUUGAUUAGGAAGCUCGGGAUCCAUGGUGGUGAGUCCCAUUUUCUUAUCCGUUGCCCAGUGGUCUUAUCUGGAGAAGAGAAUAAGGAGUUAUGUGCUUUGAGGCUUUUUGUUGUUGUCCUGUGAGGCCUUUUUUGUUUUUACUUUGCUCCUUUAAUGAGACUUGAGCAAGGGUCUUCCCUCAGGGUAUGGAUUAUGGAUUGUACUCAGAGAUGAGGGGUGAGCUACUUGGGUGCGUAGGAUGGGGAUCCUACAAGGGAGUAUUUGAAUUGAACUUUUCUCCACCUUUUUAGGAUAUUAUCUCAGAUUUAAUUAUCUACUCCUAUGGGUAACUUUCAGUCUAUGGGCAACUUUCAGUCUAUGGGCAUCCGCUCUCCAUUUUCUCACUAUAUGCAUCACUGUUAUGGCACUAAUUCAAUUUAAUAUAUGCAAAAAAUGGCAACAUGUUAUUAAAGAUCAUUUAGAAAAAAAGGACCUCCUGGAAACUUGAUGUAUCCUCAGACUGGCUCCUCUAAUAAAACUUCCCUCUUCUCCCCCUUCA
ensembl:lncRNA